UAACUCUUUAAUUUUAUCUACUUAUGUCACUGAGUCCUUUUCUAGGCAAUCAGCUGACAGAUGGCUGGUGCACAGGAGAUUGGAGAGCAACUCAGCAGAUCAUCAUGCAUGUUGUACCGAAGAACAAUCUGAUGGGUCUUGUUUUUCCAAAGCAUAGAGCUAAGAUUUGAGAACCUCACUGAGUGAAUCAGAGGAGCAUGAUGCAAAGAGCCAAGAAAUGUAGAAUCAAAAUAUCUUGGGACAGCAAGAUUAUCAAUUGAGAUCACUACCCUAAUAUGCAAUGAGCUGCAUAGAAGAGGAACACUGCUAAAAAUCACAUACUAGCUGCAGAAAAGUAAGCAAAAGACAAAAACCUUGGCCCUGGUCACAGUUUGUGAAGGUCAUCACCAAAAUCAAGUGCAACUAAACAG